UACAGAGGGCGCAAGCGUUGUUCGGAUUUACUGGGCGUAAAGGGCGUGUAGGCGGAUGUACAAGUCGGGGGUGAAAGGCCAGGGCUUAACCCGGGACGGUCUCCCGAAACUGUGCAUCUAGAGAAAGUCAGAGGCAGGUGGAAUUCCAGGUGUAGAGGUGAAAUUCGUAGAGAUCUGGAGGAACACCGGCGGCGAAGGCGGCCUGCUGGGGCUUUUCUGACGCUGAGGCGCGAAAGCGUGGGUAGCAAACAGG
rnacentral:misc_RNA from 1 species